rnacentral:lncRNA from 1 species
AACUUCUUUAUGGGAUCGGUCCACUUUAAAGAUGUGGCCUUGGCACAUAUUUUGGUGUAUGAGAACCCAUCAGCAUGUGGAAGGCAUCUGUGUGUAGAAGCAAUAUCUCAUUAUGGUGACUUUGUGGCCAAGGUCGCAGAACUUUACCCUGAAUAUGACAUUCCAAGGUAAUGAGUUUGACUUCCUCCUAUACCUACAUCAUAAAUAAUUUUAAAAAAAAAUUACCUGCAUAAUAGGUUUGCAACAGAAAUAAUGUUCAUCUCUUUUUAUAAUCCAUGAAAACAUAUCAGAAAUUUGACUCAAAUUUAUAUAAUCAUAUUGCAUGCCAAAGACAAAUGAUCUAGACAUGGUAAUGCUGAAACGGGAAGAUAUAGAAGUUUCAUGACUCACUUCUGUUUAGCAAUUUAUGAACAGCACUUCUGCUUGUUGAUCAAUGUCAAAUAUCUGAACUGCUAUGUAAGAAGGCUAUUUUUGCCAUACUUGAUCCUAUGAUUUGCCAAAGUCUAGCUUUCAUAUGUAAAAUAUGACAGUACUUCAGCUGUUUUAUUAUGUGGGUAAGCAGUACAUAUACAUACAUGCUGCCUCCACACUGAGUUCUUUUCUUCCUAAUCUCUCAAGCCUCUAAAUUUUUCCUGGUUGGUUUAAGUUCUCUUUUUCCAAUUGUAUUGCUAGAGAUCGUUAAAAGUAUUAGUCAUUAUGUCUGGUUAAUUAUCGACGUUGAAAUUUUCUACAUGGAUUUCAAUCACUCUUUCUAGAUAAUUUGAUGUUUAUGGUGAAUUGCAAGUUCUUGAUAAAUAUAUAAUGCUUCUAAGCUGUAUUUUCCUGCAUUUUCAUGUAGACUGCCAAAAGACACCCAACCUGGGUUAUUGAGGACCAAGGAUGGAGCCAAAAAGCUGAUGGACUUGGGUUUACAAUUCAUUCCCAUGGAUCAAAUCAUCAAGGACUCUGUCGAGAGUUUGAAGGCCAAGGGAUUUAUCUCUUGAAUGAAAGCUGCAACGUGUCAGCAGCUGCUGAUGAACCACCCAUCCGUUUUAUACAAGUAGAGGACUGAGAGCUAUAGUAUAAUUAGAUAAUUUGGCUAAAUGUUGUCUCUUUGUAAUUUUCUGUGAAAUAUCGUUGAGAUGAGCCACUGUCAGGAAGUCGACAACUUAAUAAAUAAAAUAUCUUUCUAGACUUCCUCUUU